UGUUUCAUUCAUUUGGGUGAAUCAUAAAAACAAUGUUCACAUUAUAAGAACUGACGAUGGCUCUAAUUGUGUGUGUGUGUGUGAAAAAUUUUCGACGCCGCCGUUCAUACUGCGAGACAUCACUUUGCACUACAUGACUGCUGAAACAAAAACAAUACACGCAGCUCGAAAGCAAUAUAUACAGGUAUUCGGUGAAGAUUUACAAAAAAAUUGUUCCUCGGUCACAAACCUGGCUUAGUAUGCCUGAAUAAAUAUAUCUACCAACCGGCUGUCGCGGCCACAUGCGUUUAAUAUUUCGGUUUCGUAUAUUUUGCGCUGUUUAGCUUAAGGUAAGAUGAUUCUGGAUCGCCCAUCCACUGCAAAGAGUUUGUGCCGCAUAAAGAUACGACUUGCAAAAACAAAAUAAUAAACAUUUGCUCCAGCUUAUAUGUAUUUAUGUAUAUGUACCUAUUUCCAUCUCGUGACCGAGGGUGAAAUCGCGUCGCCGUAUCAUCCAUAAGUUAUGGCUGUGUGCCCACCUUAUCUCAUCAGCCUGCUGUAUAUCACCACACAUUCACUUGCAGACAAUUCAUUGGAAGAUAGCAUAAAAAACCAGUGGAAAAGUCCUAAGUGCGAGACAUUCUGGACUUUUUUCUUAUCUUUUCUUCUCACACAAAGUCCAACGCUUGAGCCGGAAGAGAUUGUCAAUAAUGCCGAGGAGGCCGCGAUGAUUCCGGUCCUGUUGGCCAUUUGGGGUUUCCUUCAAAGGAAGACAACAAAAAAAUACCACACUCAAAACCAACGCCACUUUAGUUAUUAAGUCCAUAUUAUGACUUACGUAUUUAAUUAACACCCACAUAUAAAUAUAACAAAUCGCCAAUAACACACUGAAGUCUGCGCACAACCCAAAUAAAGAAUAUAAUUGACACUG